UUUGUCCUGCGAGCUCCUCU
rnacentral:siRNA from 1 species